rnacentral:rRNA from 1 species
UACGUAGGGCGCAAGCGUUGUCCGGAAUUAUUGGGCGUAAAGAGCUCGUAGGCGGUUUGUCGCGUCUGGUGUGAAAACUCGAGGCUCAACCUCGAGCUUGCAUCGGGUACGGGCAGACUAGAGUGCGGUAGGGGAGACUGGAAUUCCUGGUGUAGCGGUGGAAUGCGCAGAUAUCAGGAGGAACACCGAUGGCGAAGGCAGGUCGCUGGGCCGCAACUGACGCUGAGGAGCGAAAGCAUGGGGAGCGAACAGG